GUGGGAAGGGCCGGCGGGUUCCGUGGCGGCCCUCAGAGCCGUCCGCCGCCUGGGGAGGGCCCUCGUCCCGGCGGGACCCGGCGCCGCGAUGUGUCCUGGAAAGAGGAAUUCUUACAGAGAGAUGUGAUGAAAUACUGCCAUGCAUGGAGGAAGUGACUGUUAAGGAGAGCAAAAAAGACCAUUUCCAAGCAUGGUAAAAGAUUGGAGUGAAUUUGAUGCUAUCGAAAGAAUGAUUUUACAGAAUAGGAGACUAGAAUUCUGCUUACAAAGUGAACAUCUUUGAGGUGAGUGUAUUUGCUCCUGAAGAGACCCCAAGUGUGCAGUGAGGAAAGAGCAGGGAUAUAUUUAUUAUACAUUGUGAGAUGAAGGGGGAGUUAGAGAGCUGCCAUUCUUCUGGAUGUGUCCACCUCGUGUCUGAAUUGAUUUCCAUGUGGAAAUGCACCAGAGCUGUUUUUGGAGGACUGCCUCUGUAAGGAAACCCAACAAGUACUUCAAAAGAAACACUGCAGACCUCUCAGAAAUGCCUGUGGACUACUGAUGGUCUUCAAAGAAUUUGGGCGGCACUAUGGAGCAGCGUUAAUCACUGCAGAUAAUUAGAUUGGAGGACAGCCAGCAUAGCCUGUCAUCUGGACAUCAUCAAACAAUUGCAACUGCAACGUCCUGCUCCUGUGAGUGAACACCCAAACAGCACGUGGCUACAGACUGCAGGGCAUGACUGUGCAGGUCGAGGUACAUACCACCUAGUGAAAGGUACUGGGAAAGUGCAACUGAUUUCUUCUGUGGUCUGCAGUAUUCCUUCCUUGCUUCCCUCAGAUUCCAUGGACACACUGUCCUUCUGAAGAGCUCCUGCUUCAACUAAAUCUUUCCAUUAAAAAAAAUUAAAAAUUCUUCUAUAAGAG
rnacentral:lncRNA from 1 species